UGGGGUGUAGCCAAAUGGUAAGGCAGUGGACUUUGGAUCCACUAUUUGGAGGUUCAAAUCCUCCCACCCCAGCCA
rnacentral:tRNA from 1 species